AAAGUUUAAUUUCUGCUAAGCCAUGUGAUUUUGGUAUCCCACGAUUAUUGUAUGUGGAGUCAUGCAUAGAUGGAGGAACAGAAGAGUUUCGUAAAGAGAGUACUGGCUGGGAUGGUGACGAGAGUGCUCGGGAAAUGUUUGAGCUUUGGAAAAAACUCAGAAAAAAUGUAUUAAUACAAGAAGUGGACAAGAACAGGAAGAUGAAAAUGAUAGAAGAGAAUCUGAAGAUUUUCAAAACGAAGAUGAAAUGAAAUGCUACAGCAAAAGAAAAGAUCAGGCCAAGCUCUAUGAUGAACAGAAGAAAGAGAAAGGUAAGACAAAUAAAGAACAAGAUAGAGAAAGCAAAGAUCCAGAUGAAAAUAAAGACAACAUGAAGAAACUAAGGAGAAUGGUGAUAAAAAUAAUGGGCAAGUUGGGGAAAUCCGACAUCAAGACGAAAACAAAGAGCAAGAUGAAGAAAUCAAAGAUCGAGACUAAAACAAUUAAAAGAUUGUCAUCACACCACAAAAAAAAUUGAUUUGUAAACCAAGUAACAUCAGCCCUGCUUUUUUGGGAAAUACUGUAUAGCCUGAAGAAAUUCCUCAAAAGAAAAAUAGGUUCACAAGGAAAGGAGCGAUUGCCACAUUAAGCUACGUCAGCUAAGUGGUUGAGUUAUUGGAAAGGCCUUGAAGGAGAGAAAAAGAAAAAAAAUUUAAAAAGCAGAUAGAGAGGAAUAGAAAAAGUCCAAAAUAGUCAAAGGUAAAAAACUAGAUCGACCAUCCAAGCACAAACCGGAUUGGAUAUGUAAAAAAUGUAAAGGAAGCUUUAAUAUGAUGAAGAAAUGUGCAACAACAGAAAGUAUUGGGCCGUGUCAUGACUGUGACAACUGGUACUACACAAACUGCAUUUCCAAAAACCUGAUCUUAGAGUUCAGACUGGAUGAUGUCUCUGAUAAUGAGAAGUCCGAUUUUGUAUGUGACUUUUGUUUUGGUGAAAGUAACGAAGAAUUUGGUGUGUGUUUGAACUUAAAUUGGAGUAGAGCCUCAUGGUAUUAUGUUUGUUAAAUUAGGCUACUAAAGAUUGAUGAACAACUGCCUAACUUCAAAAUGUGCUGUAGAAGAAAUUAUUUUCUUCUAGAAAAAACCUCACGUAAGCAGAAAAAAGAAACUGAAUAAAGUAAACGAACCAUUGUCAUCAAGUUAGCACCUGCAACGCUUUAUUAAAGGGAGGCCGCGCUGCAACAUAAAAGUCCUGCAGCAAAGACUGAAGAGGUGAGACAAGAAGAUUAGCUCUAUGAAACAAAUUAUUUUAUUGUUAAAGAAAAGGUAAAUAAAUAAAAUGUUGUUAAAAAGAGAAAAAGCUCAA